rnacentral:rRNA from 1 species
GACGAACGCUGGCGGCGUGCUUAACACAUGCAAGUCGAACGGAAAGGCCCUGCUUUUGUGGGGUGCUCGAGUGGCGAACGGGAGUAACACGUGAGUAACCUGCCCUUGACUUUGGGAUAACUUCAGGAAACUGGGGCUAAUACCGGAUAGGAGCUCCUGCUGCAUGGGGGGGGUUGGAAAGUUUCGGCGGUUGGGGAUGGACUCGCGGCUUAUCAGCUUGUUGGUGGGGUAGUGGCUUACCAAGGCUUUGACGGGUAGCCGGCCUGAGAGGGUGACCGGCCACAUUGGGACUGAGAUACGGCCCAGACUCCUACGGGAGGCAGCAGUGGGGAAUAUUGCACAAUGGGCGGAAGCCUGAUGCAGCAACGCCGCGUGCGGGAUGACGGCCUUCGGGUUGUAAACCGCUUUCGCCUGUGACGAAGCGUGAGUGACGGUAAUGGGUAAAGAAGCACCGGCUAACUACGUG